GAGCCCCGCAGAGAGCAGCCGGCGCAGGCAGAAGGGGCUCCCAGGCCUGUGCAGGCUCUGCUUCCGAAUCACCAGCCAGCGACGCUGCUUGAAUCGGCCCGGGGAGGACGGCAGAAGGCUGGGACGCUGGGCGGGGAGGGGGGCUCUGGAGCGCCUCCCAGCGGAAACACAGGACGAAGGCAGCACAGGUCUUUGUGAGGGUCUCCAGCACCACGAAGCAGCCCGUUGGAGCAGUUUCCUGCAAGCUGAUUUGGAAGCCAUUUUCUAUAAACAUGGCUGACCUAGCCCAGUCUGUGGAUCUCCUGGGACCUUUGCAUUCCCUCUUCUUCCUUCUCUGGGCCUCACGGAGAGACUUUGCUCCCCCCACUCAAGCUGGAGUGUGGAGAUGCUGGGUGUGGAACAAGCCCAGGUGGCCAGGGCUCACAAAAACGAAAGCUUGCUUCCGGCCUAAGGGCCUGUGGGUUUGAGUGAACUUCGUAGGGCUUGACUGUGUCGGGCUGCGACUGGCUCGGGGUCAGAUCCCGUCCAUUCUGGUGCAGCGGCUGCCUGGGACGUGUUUCUCCCGUGGCAGGGGCCAGACUCACCAGAGCUGAGCAAAGCCAAGUGGCAGCAUCUGAGACUUCGGCUUGCACUGCACCCACUCACAUCGCUGAAGCCCUGUGUGCAGCCAGACCGAACAUCAGGCCAAAGGGAAGGGAGUGUGGACGCAGGCUGAGCAAGAGACGAGGUCUGCCUUCAGCGGCCUCUCCUCUCCCUGCUCUGCAGCCAGACAGAACGGAGCUGGAUCCUGGCCACGGACUCUCCAGGUGGACAAGGUGUCCAAGCAGGAUAUUUGCUUAUUCUCAAAGUGGAUACACACCUUACCCAGAGGGAAGCAACUCCUUUUUUUUGUUUUUUAAAUUUGAAAGUCAGAGUUACACAGAGAAGGAGAGGCAGAGAGAGAGAGAGAGAGGUCUUCCAUCUGCUGGUUCACUCCCUAAUUGACCGCAACACCUGGAGCUGCUCUGUUCCGAAGCCAGGAGCCAGGAGCUUCUUCCGGGUCUUCCAUGCGGGUGCAGGGGCCCAAGGACUUGGGCCAUCUUCUACUGCUUUCCCAGGCCACAGCAGGGAGCUGGAUCAGAAGUGGAGCAGCUGGGACUUGAACUUGUGCCCAUAUGGGAUGAUGGCACUGCAGAUGGCAGCUUCACCUGCCACAGCACUGACCCCACAACUCAUUUGUAGAAGUUUUAAUUCUUCAGUUCUUACAAGCAUUUUCAUUUUGACUAUCGGGCCCAUCCUGUGGCUGUGACCUGUUUUAAAACCCUGGCGAAAGGUAGGCAGAAGAAACUCGCUCUGGUAUCCUGCAGCGGGCAGCGUGGGCAGAGUGCAU
rnacentral:lncRNA from 1 species